GAUGAAGAACGUAGCGAAAUGCGAUAAGUAAUGUGAAUUGCAGAAUUCAGUGAAUCAUCGAAUCUUUGAACGCACAUUGCGCCCGCCAGUAUUCUGGCGGGCAUGCCUGUUCGAGCGUCAUUACAACCCUCAGGCCCCCGGGCCUGGCGUUGGGGAUCGGCGGAGCCCCCCGUGGGCACACGCCGUCCCCCAAAUACAGUGGCGGUCCCGCCGCAGCUUCCAUCGCGUAGUAGCUAACACCUCGCGACUGGAGAGCGGCGCGGCCACGCCGUAAAACACCCAACUCUUCAGAAGUUGACCUCGAAUCAGGUAGGAAUACCCGCUGAACUUAAGCAUAUCAAUAAGCGGAGGA
rnacentral:misc_RNA from 1 species